CUGAGUGAGGGCCCCGGCCCGACCUCCAACCCUGUUUCCACACCUCGUUGCCUCGGGGGCGACCCGGCCGUCCGCGCCGGGGCCCCCGGUGGACCCGUCCAACUCGGUUUUGCAUGCGUCUGAGUAGAAGGAUAAAUGAAACA
rnacentral:misc_RNA from 1 species